rnacentral:sRNA from 2 species
UAAAUCGUCUCGCUGAGUCUCCGUAUGGAGAACGGGGGAACCAAUAUCGCUUUGCCGUAUGCCGAUAGCCUUACAUAACUGUACAUCAGGUUGGCGUUGCAAGCUGUAUUUGAUUUCUUCACGUGGUCUUUGGGGUGAAUUUGAAGGCAAUCGCCAUGAGCGGUUGACCCGAGAUAGGGCGUCUCUCUUUCGUCCGAACCCGACAGCUAACCCCGUAAGCGCAAGUAAGAGAGGAA